rnacentral:lncRNA from 1 species
GCGUGUCUUAGAGUGUCACUACCUCCAUCCGCCAUUUUGGAACGGUGAAAUGCAAGCGGUGGUGUACUGACCUCUACCGUAGUCACCAGCCUAUACUGCCAGCACCGGUUGUCACCAGAUUAUGCCUGCUGCAGCUGGCUAAGGAUGACUAGUAUAGGCUAUAAUGGUGGCUAAUGGCUGCCUAACAUUGUGUUCAAUCAACAUCGAUUCAAUGACGCUCCCGCAUAUUGUCACUCUAAAAUGUUCUAUAUUUAUCGUCUGCUAACCAUUUCACCCAUCCCCUCCGGUCAUUUAAGGGCGAGAACAUAUCUGCUCACGCGGUGUUCGAUAGUAUUGUGUUUGUACAUGUUGUGUUCGACUGCGUGACAUUUUGUGCCCUUCCUAUUAUUCUUCUUUAUUGCACACUCGUUUUCGUCUGCUAAACGAGAAGGAGUAGCCGGUCCAACCAUAACGGCACCAACCUCUCCUAUUCAUCGUUUCAAUUAAAAAAAAAGCAUACACAGUCUUCAAGUCUUCUCGGCAACGUCCUUCUUCGCUGCCUUAUAAUGCGGACCGCUGCGGAGCAUGGCCGCUAAAGAAAUUAAUGGCGCUCUCGGCGUCUAAUGGGGCGCGCCAGACGACGAGGCAAGCCGUUUGUGGGUUGCAACACGACGACAUUGACCGGCGCGCCACCGCGAGGUCGUGUGCCGCAGGCAAGCCAUCGUGGAAUUCCUUCCGCGGCACAAGGGAGCACCGCUAAGCCCGGACUGGACGUAGGAACCCGGUAGAAGACCCUCCUGCCUGGACGAAGACGUUGGUCCGCAGUAUGUUUGAACGAAUAAAUCAAGCACGCUCUAUCGGAUUGGUGGUUGCCAUGGAUUGACCAAUAGGAGAAAAAGCAAGAACUAACGAAGACAAGUUAAUAUGAAUGCCAACCCUCAAGUUUGGGCAGAUCUCUGAGAUUUCAACUUAUAUGUUGUGUAAAUAAAGUGUG